CGCCCCCACGCGCCAAAUAGCCAGCAGAGACCUCCAGGAUAUGGCUGUUAAUCUGUUUUCUCUAAUCAAACACUUAAUCAUCCAGUCUCCUCUCUGCGUUAUGGAUUCAUGAAUGUGAAGUGAGGAGAGUUGCUCAGUCAAGGUUUUUCACGUACUGCACAUCCAAGCUAGGUAAUGUCUCUGCAACUGCUGCUUCCUGAUGAUUAUAUUCAUCUGAAAUGACUAAGCUUGGUAAAUUAGGCUAAGUCAAGUCUGUGGAGCAGUCAAGGGACGAAUGAAGAAAAGAAUAAUGUAAUGGAGGCUACACCAGAGACAUGGGAAUCUAUCAGCAUGUGGCAAGGAAGGAAGAACAUAGCUAUGUCUUCUAUAUAAAGAGUUGCCUGCAUUCUUCUCAGAAAAAAAAAGACAAUGGAAAGGCAAUGAGUCAUGAGUCUUGGGUUCUAAGCCUGGUUCUACCAUUUGCUAGCUGUAUGAUAAGAAGCAUGUUUGUUAAACCUCUGAGCCUCAGCUUAUAUAUAUACGAAACAGGAAAAAUAGUAACAUAGCCUGCCAUCUUCACAGAUUUGUGAAAAGGUCUUUUAAAUAUCCAAAAAGCUUAGUAUGUAUAAGAAAGAUUAAAUUGGCUGGGCGCGGUGGCUCACGCCUGUAAUCCCAGCACUUUGGGAGGCCGAGGCGGGCGGAUCACAAGGUCAGGAGAUCGAGACCAUCUUGGCUAACACGGUGAAACCCCGUCUCUACUAAAAAUACAAAAAAUUAGCCGGGCGCGGUGGCGGGCGCCUGUAGUCCCAGCUACUCGGGAGGCUGAGGCAGGAGAAUGGCGUGAACCUGGGAGGCGGAGCUUGCAGUGAGCCGAGAUUGCGCCACUGCAAUCCGGCCUGGGCUAAACAGCGGGACUCCGUCUCAAAAAAAAAAAAAAAAAAAAAAAAAAGAAAGAUUAAAUUUAAGCUAUGGGUAUGACACAAAAAUAUACUUGAAAAUUAUUCUUAAAUUUCACCAUAUUUAGGAAGUGGCUAAAUAUCAACAUAAUAUUCCUACUUCUGCAUUUCCUAUUUCUCUCUUUGCAUUUUAAAUUCAGAGGAAGUUAUCUCAUUUAUUAAUUGUAACAUUUAAAUAGUAUACAUUUCUGUCAUUUAAAAGUGGUACUGACAAUGUAGUUAAACCUUUAUUAUCUUUUAUUGGUUUAAUAAAUAAAAGUGCAUGACUAAAAA
rnacentral:lncRNA from 1 species